CAAACUGGUACCACAGUAGAGACAUGCCGAGGUUGCUGGAGUUGAUGGAGGAGUUACUGGUUUGAUCCAGAGUGACAUUCAACAUGGUGGCAUUGGACGAACACGCUGCUGUCUGAGAAAGAUGAUUAUCAGAUUCAUCAUAUCCUACAACAAUACCCUCAGAACAGCUGUUUAAGUGAAAUGAUGUCAUUCCCGCAUUGUACCGUGGCGGAGUUCACCGUGCUGUAGACCUCAACUCGUCCAGUCCCUGCAGCGAAUGCUUCUUCCAGAACUUCCACAGAGGUUUAUAAUCCAGAGCCGCUGGGACUCCUACCUCCUUUUGGAUUGGUCCACCAUCUGCGGUUGCGACAGUCCUUCCCCAUCUUCAUGUCUGACGCCAGCUGUGAUUGGGCAGUGAUAGAGACACAAGGUGCGGCGAGGUCUUCAGUGAUUGGACAGUCUGCUGGACAGAAGAUUCUGAUCUAAACGAUCUCUGCUGUUGGGUUGAUGAAUACCGGCGGUGUCCAGUGCUGUCAGUAACUACCGCUACGUUUGCAGCGUCAGGAGAGGACAGAAGUUCAGAAAUGUGUAAGAAGACAUUUACUUGUAUGACAGGAAACAAACUUCUCACUGAAAACACAUUGAAGGACACUUUACUGGAGUUUUACGUGACAAAAAUCUUUAAUGUUUAUGUGACAUGAACCCCUUUCAAAUGAAAAGUGUUUCUCUCCCUCAGUAGCUUCUGUAAACGGGUCGGCGUGCCAGAGCCGCACGGCCAUCCGCAACACCGCGGCACCAACAUCUAAACUGACACCAGCAGCACACACACAAGAGGCUGCACGGUAGCGGGAACAACACCUCAUUAUAAACAGGUUUGUGUUCUCCUGAAGGAGACGAGUGCGUUGUUGCCAGUUUCUAGCAAAGCUGUUGAUUUUGACACAAUUCAGGCCAAAGUAGUGAUUGAGCUGAUGUGCUUUGUGUUUGUGGUGGAUGUAAUGUUAGCAGGCAUCAGUCAGGUGUUCUGUGCUUCCUCUGGAAGCUAACGUAACUUAAAUGGCGCCCCCUGGAGUUCAUAUCAAUACCAAGGCCCAAGUGUGCACGUGCCAAGUUAAAAACAAAUUCUUUAAACUCUCGAUGGACAUUAACAACGUCCGCCACUGGUGCUGUUGCCCAACAGGGUGCUGGUGGAAAUUGGGCAACUGCUGGGUGAAGACGACAAAGAAGAAGAGGAGAACAUUUCCACAAAC